rnacentral:tRNA from 1 species
UCCCUGGUGGUCCAGUGGCUAAGACUCUGCACUCCCUAUGUAGGGGGUACAGGUUCAACCCCUGGCCAGGGAA